UGGGUUUAGACCGUCGUGAGACAGGUUAGUUUUACCCUACUGUUUAUAUUAUUAAGAAAAGUUAUAUAGUACGAGAGGAACAAUAGGUGAUGACCUCUGGUGUAGCGAUUAAUUAUUCAAUUAUGUUGCAAAACUACGUCAUGAAUAAUAAAUGCUGAAAGCCUCUUAAGCAUGAAGUUAAUCUUAAUGAUAAACAACUGAGGAAUACUACCUCUUUGAAGAGUGGGACUGUAAGAAUGAAGGUGUAUACCGACAUUUUGAGGUUACCAUUUCGUUCUGUAUAAAAAUA
rnacentral:rRNA from 1 species